UGGGGAAUAUUAGACAAUGGGCGCAAGCCUGAUCCAGCCAUACCGCGUGGGUGAAGAAGGCCUUCGGGUUGUAAAGCCCUUUUGUUGGGAAAGAAAUCCAGCCGGCUAAUACCUGGUUGGGAUGACGGUACCCAAAGAAUAAGCACCGGCUAACUUCGUGCCAGCAGCCGCGGUAAUACGAAGGGUGCAAGCGUUACUCGGAAUUACUGGGCGUAAAGCGUGCGUAGGUGGUUAUUUAAGUCCGUUGUGAAAGCCCUGGGCUCAACCUGGGAACUGCAGUGGAUACUGGAUGACUAGAAUGUGGUAGAGGGUAGCGGAAUUCCUGGUGUAGCAGUGAAAUGCGUAGAGAUCAGGAGGAACAUCCAUGGCGAAGGCAGCUACCUGGACCAACAUUGACACUGAGGCACGAAAGCGUGGGGAGCAAACAGGAUUAGAUACCCCCGUAGUCC
rnacentral:rRNA from 1 species